GGACUACCGGGGUAUCUAAUCCUGUUUGCUCCCCACGCUUUCGCACCUCAGCGUCAGUACCGGGCCAGUGAGCCGCCUUCGCCACUGGUGUUCUUGCGAAUAUCUACGAAUUUCACCUCUACACUCGCAGUUCCACUCACCUCUCCCGGACUCGAUAUCCCCAGUAUCAAAGGCAGUUCCGAGGUUGAGCCUCGGGAUUUCACCCCUGACUUAAAGAUCCGCCUACGUGCGCUUUACGCCCAGUAAUUCCGAACAACGCUAGCCCCCUUCGUAUUACCGCGGCUGCUGGCAC
rnacentral:rRNA from 1 species